rnacentral:rRNA from 1 species
UACAGAGGUCUCAAGCGUUGUUCGGAUUCAUUGGGCGUAAAGGGCGCGUAGGCGGCGUGGCAAGUCGGGUGUGAAAUCUUGGAGCUUAACUCCGAAACUGCAUUCGAUACUGCCGUGCUUGAGGACUGGAGAGGAGACUGGAAUUUACGGUGUAGCGGUGAAAUGCGUAGAUAUCGGAAGGAAGACCAGUGGCGAAGGCGGGUCUCUGGACAGUUCCUGACGCUGAGGCACGAAGGCCAGGGGAGCAAACGGG